GUUGUUAUUCUUCUUAUGUUAAGGAGUUAAGUUUUAAUUCUAUUCUUCCUUUUUGCGUUGUUAUUCUUCUUAUGUUAUCUUUCUUGCGUUAUCAUUCUUUUCUUCUCUUUAGGCUUUCUUCUAAACUUCUCUUGAAGGAUGACCAUUAGACAGGAAAGUUGACUUCAGGAGAAUAGGUAGCCUUUAGGUAGGAAGUCAAACUUUAGUCUUC
rnacentral:lncRNA from 1 species